UCCUACGGGGGGCAGCAGUAGGGAAUUUUCGUCAAUGGGCGCAAGCCUGAACGAGCAAUGCCGCGUGAACGAGGAAGGUCUUCGGAUCGUAAAGUUCUGUUGAAGGGGAAAAAGAGCGGAGAGAGGAAAUGGUCUCCGAUUGAUAUUACCCUUCGAGGAAGUCACGGCUAACUACGUGCCAGCAGCCGCGGUAAUACGAAGGUGGCGAGCGUUAUCCGGAAUGAUUGGGCGUAAAGGGUGCGUAGGCGGCCUGCUAAGUCUGGAGUGAAAGGUACCGGCUCAACCGGUACAGGCUCUGGAAACUG
rnacentral:rRNA from 1 species